CAGCCGCGUAAUUCCAGCUCCAAUAGCGUAUAUUAAAGUUGUUGCAGUUAAAAAGCUCGUAGUUGAAUUUCGGGAUUAAUUUAUUGGUCGUGCUAUUGUACGUACUGGUAUUAUUGAUUCCUACCUUCUGACGAACCAUGAUGUCAUUAAUUUGGUGUCUUGGGGAAUCAGGACUGUUACUUUGAAAAAAUUAGAGUGUUUAAAGCAGGCUCACGCUUGAAUACAUUAGCAUGGAAUAACGAAAUAGGACGUUUGAUUCUAUUUUGUUGGUUUCUAGGAUCGACGUAAUGAUUAAUAGGGAUAGUUGGGGGCAUUAGUAUUCAAUUGUCAGAGGUGAAAUUCUUGGAUUUAUUGAAGACUAACUACUGCGAAAGCAUUUGCCAAGGAUGUUUUCAUUAAUCAAGAACGAAAGUUAGGGGAUCGAAGACGAUCAGAUACCGUCGUAGUCUUAACCAUAAACUAUGCCGACUAGGGAUCGGAUGAUGUUAAUUUUUUAAUGACUCAUUCGGCGCCUUACG
rnacentral:misc_RNA from 1 species